rnacentral:rRNA from 1 species
GAUGAACGCUGGCGGCGUGCCUAAUACAUGCAAGUCGAGCGAACGGACGAGACGCUUGCUUCUCUGAUGUUAGCGGCGGACGGGUGAGUAACACGUGGAUAACCUACCUAUAAGACUGGUAUAACUUCGGGAAACCGGAGCUAAUACCGGAUGAUCUUUUGAACCGCAUUGUUCAUUAGUGAAAGACGGUCUUGCUGUCACUUCUCGAUGGAUCCGCGCUGCAUUAGCUAGUUGGUAAGGUAACGGCUUACCAAGGCAACGAUGCAUAGCCGACCUGAGAGGGUGAUAGGCCACACUGGAACUGAGACACGGUCCAGAGUCCUACGGGAGGCAGCAGUAGGGAAUCUUAGGCAAUGGGCGAAAGCAUGACGGAGCAACGGCGCGUGAGUGAUGAAGGUCUUCGGAUCGUAAAAAUCUGUUAUGAGGGAAGAACAGAUGUGUAAGUAACUGUGCACAGAGUGACGGUACCUAAUCAGAAAGCCACGGCUAACUACGUG